rnacentral:rRNA from 1 species
UACGGGGGGGGCAAGCGUUGUUCGGAAUUACUGGGCGUAAAGGGCUCGUAGGUGGCCAACUAAGUCAGACGUGAAAUCCCCAGGCUUAACCUGGGAACUGCGUCUGAUACUGGAUGGCUUGAAUUCGGGAGAGGGAUGCAGAAUUCCAGGUGUAGCGGUGAAAUGCGUAGAUAUCUGGAGGAACACCGGUGGCGAAGGCGGCGUUCUGGACUGCAACUGACACUGAGAGACGAAAGCCAGGGGAGCAAACAGG